rnacentral:rRNA from 1 species
UACGUAGGGGGCAAGCGUUGUCCGGAAUUAUUGGGCGUAAAGAGCGCGUAGGCGGUCCGAUAAGUCGGCUGUGAAAGUCUAGGGCUCAACCCUGGAAAGCCGGCCGAUACUGUCGGACUAGAGUCCGGAAGAGGCGAGUGGAAUUCCCGGUGUAGCGGUGAAAUGCGCAGAUAUCAGGAGGAACACCGAUGGCGAAGGCAGGUCUCUGGGCCACUACUGACGCUGAGAAGCGAAAGCGUGGGGAGCAAACAGG